CCCAUUCACAUCAAACAAAAAAUUCCCUUAUCGUAAACUUGGGAUUACCCAACAAAUAUUUAAUUUUUUCCAUAAAUUUGUUCACAUCGUUUUUGCUGGGGAGUUGCUUUAAACAUGAGCCGAAGUGUGAACAAUAAUCAACACGAGAUUUUGCUCAACAAAAUGCAAAAUAACAGCACAAUUGCGUGUGGCUUUGUCAAAAUUUAAAAAGACGUAAUGACAGAAUUUUGGAAUAGUCUUAAGUUGAUCUCAUUUGAUCUUGUUUUAUUAUUACAUUUGUAAGUGGUUUUUAUUAAUUAAUCUUAUAUAUAAAAAUCAA